rnacentral:snRNA from 1 species
AAUACGCUAUAUAUAAGCAAACAAUUGAAAGCAUGCUUUGAGUCGAGAUUUCUUUAAAAUGACAAAUAAAUCAUUGUAUUAAUGAUUUUUUUGUUCAUAACAAGUUAUUUCGUAUUAAGUACUGCAAUAAAAAAUUAUUAAUAGUUGAUUGGAAAAGAUUAUCUACUUUAUCAACAUAUUGUAGGUAGUCUUACCAGUUAUUCUAUGAUUAAUAAACGUGAUCGUUGGUAACUUUUGAUUUAAUUGAGAAUUUCUCAUUUCCCUUAUUGACUAAAAAGUUACUUCUAUUGCACGCUUACAUUAUA